rnacentral:rRNA from 1 species
UACGAAGGGGGCUAGCGUUGCUCGGAAUCACUGGGCGUAAAGGGAGCGUAGGCGGGUUAUCAAGUUGGGGGUGAAAGGCCCGGGGCUCAACCUCGGAAUUGCCUUCAAAACUUGAUAACCUGGAGUAUGGAAGAGGUAAGUGGAACUCCGAGUGUAGAGGUGAAAUUCGUAGAUAUUCGGAAGAACACCAGUGGCGAAGGCGACUUACUGGGUCC